AACGGGUGUAGCAAUACACUAGUGGCGGACGGGUGAGUAACGCGUAGGAAUCUACCCUAAAGUGGGGGAUAACAGUCCGAAAGGAUUGCUAAUACCGCAUGUGAAUGCAAAUUCAAAGCCCUUAACUGGGCGCUUUAGGAGGAGCCUGCGUCCCAUCAGCUUGUUGGUAGGGUAAAAGCCUACCAAGGCGACGACGGGUAGCUGGUCUGAGAGGAUGAUCAGCCACAAUGGCACUGAGACACGGGCCAUACAUCUACGGAUGGCAGCAACUGGGAAUCUUUGACAAUGGGCGAAAGCCUGAUCAAGCGACGCCGCGUGAAGGAUGAAGGCCUUCGGGUUGUAAACUUCUUUUGCCAAAUCGUCGAGAUUUGGAGAAUAAGCCGCCGCUAACUACGUGCCAGCAGCCGCGGUGAUACGUAGGCGGCAAGCGUUACCCGGAUUUAUUGGGCGUAAAGAGUGCGCAGGCGGUUUUGAAAGUCAUCAUUGAAAUCUUGGGGCUCAACCCCAAGCCUGGUGGUGAUACUUCAAGACUAGAUUACUUGAGGGGGUACCGGAACAGUUGGUGGAGCAGUGAAAUGCGUUGAUAUCAACUGGAACACCAAAGGCGAAUGCAGGUACCUGGCAAGUCAAUGACGCUGUUGCACGAAAGCGUGGGGAGCAAAACGGAUUAGAUACCCGUGUAGUCCACGCUGUAAACGA
rnacentral:rRNA from 1 species